rnacentral:rRNA from 1 species
UGGGGAAUAUUGCGCAAUGGGCGAAAGCCUGACGCAGCGACGCCGCGUGAGGGAUGAAGGUUUUCGGAUCGUAAACCUCUGUCAGAAGGGAAGAAACCGCACUGUGCUAAUCAGCAGUGCCUUGACGGUACCUUCAAAGGAAGCACCGGCUAACUCCGUGCCAGCAGCCGCGGUAAUACGGAGGGUGCAAGCGUUAAUCGGAAUUACUGGGCGUAAAGCGCACGUAGGCUGCUUUGUAAGUCAGGGGUGAAAUCCCACGGCUCAACCGUGGAACUGCCUUUGAUACUGCUUAGCUUGAAUCCGGGAGAGGGUGGCGGAAUUCCGGGUGUAGGAGUGAAAUCCGUAGAUAUCUGGAGGAACAUCAGUGGCGAAGGCGGCCACCUGGACCGGUAUUGACGCUGAGGUGCGAAAGCGUGGGGAGCAAACAGG